rnacentral:misc_RNA from 1 species
AAGUCGUAACAAGGUUUCCGUAGGUGAACCUGCGGAAGGAUCAUUAUUGAGAUUGAGCCUAACAGGCUCUACCUCCAACCCUUUGUUUACCUUACCACUGUUGCCUCGGCGGGUCGUCGUCCCUUUUUAUUGGGGAUGCCGUCGGCGUUUUUAACCAACGUUCUCGCGUGCCCGCCGCUGGGCCCCACUAUAAACUCUUUGUAAACCCAGUCUUCUGAGAGUAAAUUUAAUACUUCAAAA